UGUAAACAGUAGGCACAGUCAUUCCUUGAUCGACCUAGCAUCAACAUCGCUCGAUGUGUAUGAAGCUGCAAGUGAGAGAAGAAGCCGCCACUGAACACCUUCUUGGACUGUCACGACUCAAAUGAAAGGACAGGACUUCUACUCUGCUGGGUCGGCCUCACUACAUAUUCAAGAAGCCCUCGGACGUCAUCAGAAUGUAUUAAUGUGAAGAGGCAACAAGGGAGAGAUGAACGCUAUCAAAAAUGUGGAGAUGGAUCUGGCAGCCGACCGCUUUGGCACACACCCAACAAGAAACAAAACAACAAAGAAUACUAAAAUGCAUAAUUUGUA